rnacentral:rRNA from 1 species
UACGUAGGCGGAAAAUUAAGUCAGUAGUGAAAUCCUGCAGCUUAACUGUAGAACUGUUAUUGAUACUGGUUUUCUUGAAUAUAGUUGAGGUAAGCGGAAUGUGUAAUGUAGCGGUGAAAUGCUUAGAUAUUACACAGAACACUGAUUGCGAAGGCAGCUUACUAAGCUAUGAUUGACGCUGAGGUACGAAAGCGUGGGGAGCGAACAGGAUUAGAUACCCUGGUAGUCC